UCUUGGUCAAUUUAGAGGAAGUAAAAGUCGUAACAAGGUUUCCGUAGGUGAACCUGCGGAAGGAUCAUUAUUGAAAGAAAUUGGGAUCUACUGUUGCUGGCCUUUUAAUAGGGGCAUGUGCACGUAGUUCUCUAUUCUAUUCAUCCACCUGUGCAUCUUUUGUAGUGUGGGCUCUUUCGGAUUAACCUCUGUGUUGGUCUUGGGAACCUCGCUAUGUUUUAUAAACACCGUUAAAGUAUGUUUUAGAAUGUCUUGUUUUAUUGGGACUUUAUUGGCCCUUUAAACACUUUUAUACAACUUUCAGCAAUGGAUCUCUUGGCUCUCCCAUCGAUGAAGAACGCAGCGAAAUGCGAUAAGUAAUGUGAAUUGCAGAAUUCAGUGAAUCAUCGAAUCUUUGAACGCACCUUGCGCCCUCUGGUAUUCCGGAGGGCAUGCCUGUUUGAGUGUCAUUAUAUUCUCAACUUCAAUAGUUUAUUAACAAACUUAUUGAAGCUUGAAUGUGGAGGCUUUGCUGGCGUCUUUUUUAGAUGUUUCGGCUCCUCUUAAAUGCAUUAGUGGUAUAACCCGUUUUGUUGGGCUGUCCUUGGUGUGAUAAUUAUCUACGCUUUGGAUGUUGUUCGACGGCUCUACUGGACGAUUAGGUUUUUGCAAUUCAAUUCAUUGGUUGCUUUAACUGUUAAUUAUAGUUCAUUGGAGUAAGGGGAGAGAUACUGCUUUCGAACCGUCUGUGCAAUACGGACAACUUUAUUGACUAUUUGACCUCAAAUCAGGUAGGACUACCCGCUGAACUUAAGCAUAUCAAUAAGGCGGAG
rnacentral:sRNA from 1 species